AUUGAACGCUGGCGGCAGGCCUAACACAUGCAAGUCGAACGAGUGGCGGACGGGUGAGUAAUGUCUGGGAAACUGCCUGAUGGAGGGGGAUAACUACUGGAAACGGUAGCUAAUACCGCAUACCAUCAGAUGGGCCCAGAGGGGAUUAGCUUGUUGGUGGGGUAAAGGCUCACCAAGGCGACGAUCCCUGGCUGGUCUGAGAGGAUGACCAGCCACACUGGAACUGAGACACGGCCCAGACUCCUACGGGAGGCAGCAUGGGGGAAUAUUGCACAAUGGGCGAAAGCCUGAUGCAGCCAUGCCGCGUGGAUGAUGAAGGCCUUCGGGUUGUAAAGUACUUUCAGCGGGGAGGCGUUACCCGCAGAAUAAGCACCGGCUAACUCCGUGCCAGCAGCCGCGGUAAUAC
rnacentral:rRNA from 1 species